rnacentral:rRNA from 1 species
GGAAUAUUCCACAAUGGGGGAAACCCUGAUGGAGCGACGCCGCGUGAGUGAAGAAGGGCUUCGGCUCGUAAAGCUCUUUUCUUGAGGACGAAUGCCGUAUUGGAUACGGAGAGACGGUACUUAGGGAAUAAGCCACGGCUAACUACGUGCCAGCAGCCGCGGUAAUACGUAGGUGGCAAGCGUUGUCCGGAAUUAUUGGGCGUAAAGGGAGCGCAGGCGGGGCAGUAAGUCCAAAUUAAAAGUGCAGGAGUAAUGCCUGUGAUGGUUUGGAAACUAUUGUUCUUGAGAGCAGGAGAGGCAAGCGGAAUUCCCGGUGUAGCGGUGAAAUGCGUAGAUAUUGGGAGGAACACCAGUGGCGAAGGCGGCUUGCUGGACUGUGUCUGACGCUGAGGCUCGAAAGCCAGGGUAGCGAACG